rnacentral:sRNA from 1 species
AUAUAUAUAUAUAUAAAGAAAUACAAAGAAUGUGAGUAUGAGGAGAGAGAAAUGUUGAAUCUAAAAGCACAAAUCCCAAUUGCUUUCAACGACAUUGGAGAAGAAGAAGAUUAGUGGCAUAUUUGUAAAUAAUAGAGUUGGUAUGGGGUAUAUUUGAUUUUGUCUGUAAUAGGGUCAAAGGUUAGUGACUAAAAAUCCAAUUAU